UACAGAGGUCUCAAGCGUUGUUCGGAUUCAUUGGGCGUAAAGGGUGCGUAGGUGGCGCGGUAAGUCGGGUGUGAAAUUUCGGAGCUUAACUCCGAAACUGCAUUCGAUACUGCCGUGCUUGAGGACUGGAGAGGAGACUGGAAUUUACGGUGUAGCAGUGAAAUGCGUAGAGAUCGUAAGGAAGACCAGUGGCGAAGGCGGGUCCCUGGACAACUCCUGACACUGAGGCACGAAAGCUAGGGGAGCAAACAGG
rnacentral:rRNA from 1 species